GUGGGGAAUAUUGGACAAUGGGCGAAAGCCUGAUCCAGCCAUGCCGCGUGUGUGAAGAAGGUCUUCGGAUUGUAAAGCACUUUAAGUUGGGAGGAAGGGCAGUAAGUUAAUACCUUGCUGUUUUGACGUUACCGACAGAAUAAGCACCGGCUAACUUCGUGCCAGCAGCCGCGGUAAUACGAAGGGUGCAAGCGUUAAUCGGAAUUACUGGGCGUAAAGCGCGCGUAGGUGGUUUUGUAAGUUGGAGGUGAAAUCCCCGGGCUCAACCUGGGAAUUGCGCUUGGGACUGCAAGGCUGGAGUGCGGCAGAGGGGGAUGGAAUUCCGCGUGUAGCAGUGAAAUGCGUAGAUAUAGGAAGGAACACCAGUGGCGAAGGCGACUACCUGGACUGAUACUGACACUGAGGUGCGAAAGCGUGGGGAGCAAACAGGAUUAGAAACCCCGGUAGUCC
rnacentral:rRNA from 1 species